AUGUUCUUAUAUUAUUCAGGACCACACAAGACUGUGGUACCAAAUCACAUGAAAAAUCUACUCUUACUAAAAAUGACCUGAGACCUAAUCACGUAGACACUUUCAACAAUGGUGGCAUAAAAAUAUAUUUCCAAACAAAUCUAAAAUAGUUGUCACACCACCUAACACACACACACAAAAAAUAAAAAAUAAAAAGAGUUACACUUACCCACCGGAUCGGAGUGGUGGCCUGGGACCCCGGGCACCACAUGCAUCCGCCCCUGCGUGAGACUGGUCCUGCAGAUUAAUAGAUGGACCCAUGUCUCAUUUGUAUAAUCUUGUUACUAGUAAAAACCUAAGUGUAGAUAGUGGAUGCCGAAAUUGCAGAAAGAAAGGGGCUUAAGAUCUUACCAAAAACAACAUGCAGCUGAAGGAUAGCAGGGAUGCAGUGCAGGGAGAUCCAUUUGACUAUAUAAUCAAUGGGCUGCUCUUUGUUGGCGGAAUUCUAACGUGAGGUACUUUUAUAGUGAUUCGUACACAAUAGUUUUUUGUCAUACAGAACAAUUCAUAUAUUAUAUAGUUGUACAAUAAAACAUUUUAAAACACCAAUUGUUGUGUACGGAGAAAAAAUUGUUGUAUACGGAUCGGCUCCUAUUUCUAUGUAUUCUUCUUGUAGAUGGAAAGAGUGAUUGUAAUAAUAGUAUUAAAUUAUUUGUGUA